rnacentral:rRNA from 1 species
UAGGCAGUGGCGGCAGCUUACACAUGCAAGUCGAACGAUGAAGCCCUUCGGGGUGGAUUAGUGGCGAACGGGUGAGUAACACGUGGGCAAUCUGCCCUUCACUCUGGGACAAGCCCUGGAAACGGGGUCUAAUACCGGAUACGACGCGCUCGGGCAUCCGAUGUGCGUGGAAAGCUCCGGCGGUGAAGGAUGAGCCCGCGGCCUAUCAGCUUGUUGGUGAGGUAAUGGCUCACCAAGGCGACGACGGGUAGCCGGCCUGAGAGGGCGACCGGCCACACUGGGACUGAGACACGGCCCAGACUCCUACGGGAGGCAGCAGUGGGGAAUAUUGCACAAUGGGCGCAAGCCUGAUGCAGCGACGCCGCGUGAGGGAUGACGGCCUUCGGGUUGUAAACCUCUUUCAGCAGGGAAGAAGCGCAAGUGACGGUACCUGCAGAAGAAGCGCCGGCUAACUACGUGCCAGCAGCCGCGGUAAUACGUAGGGCGCAAGCGUUGUCCGGAAUUAUUGGGCGUAAAGAGCUCGUAGGCGGCUUGUCACGUCGAUUGUGAAAGCCCGAGGCUUAACCUCGGGUCUGCAGUCGAUACGGGCAGGCUAGAGUGUGGUAGGGGAGAUCGGAAUUCCUGGUGUAGCGGUGAAAUGCGCAGAUAUCAGGAGGAACACCGGUGGCGAAGGCGGAUCUCUGGGCCAUUACUGACGCUGAGGAGCGAAAGCGUGGGGAGCGAACAGGAUUAGAUACCCUGGUAGUCCACGCCGUAAACGGUGGGAACUAAGUGUUUGUCGACAUUCCACGUCCGUCGGUGCCGCAGCUAACGCAUUUAAAUUUCCCCGCCUGGGGGAGUACGGUCCGCAAGGCUAAAAU